rnacentral:rRNA from 1 species
UGGGGAAUUUUUGGACAAUGGGCGAAAGCCUGAUCCAGCAAUGCCGCGUGUGUGAAGAAGGCCUUCGGGUUGUAAAGCACUUUUGUCCGGAAAGAAAUCCUUGGCUCUAAUACAGUCGGGGGAUGACGGUACCGGAAGAAUAAGCACCGGCUAACUACGUGCCAGCAGCCGCGGUAAUACGUAGGGUGCAAGCGUUAAUCGGAAUUACUGGGCGUAAAGCGUGCGCAGGCGGUUUGCUAAGACCGAUGUGAAAUCCCCGGGCUCAACCUGGGAACUGCAUUGGUGACUGGCAGGCUAGAGUAUGGCAGAGGGGGGUUAGAAUUCCACGUGUAGCAGUGAAAUGCGUAGAGAUGUGGAGGAAUACCGAUGGCGAAGGCAGCCCCCUGGGCCAAUACUGACGCUCAUGCACGAAAGCGUGGGGAGCAAAGCAGGAUUAGAUACCCUGGUAGUCCACGCCCUAAAUCGAUGUCAACUAGUUGUUGGGGA